GUGGGGAAUAUUGCACAAUGGGGGAAACCCUGAUGCAGCGACGCCGCGUGAAGGAAGAAGGUCUUCGGAUCGUAAACUUCUAUCAGCAGGGAAGAAGGAAGUGACAGUACCUGAGUAAGAAGCCCCGGCUAACUACGUGCCAGCAGCCGCGGUAAUACGUAGGGGGCGAGCGUUAUCCGGAAUUACUGGGUGUAAAGGGUGCGUAGGCGGUAUGGCAAGUCAGUUGUGAAACCCCCUGGCUCAACCAGGGGCUUGCAAUUGAAACUGUCAUACUAGAGUGCAGGAGAGGAAAGCGGAAUUCCUAGUGUAGCGGUGAAAUGCGUAGAUAUUAGGAAGAACACCAGUGGCGAAGGCGGCUUUCUGGACUGUAACAGACGCUGAGGCACGAAAGCGUGGGGAGCGAACAGGAUUAGAAACCCUAGUAGUCC
rnacentral:rRNA from 1 species